CCCAGGUUCCUUGGGACUUGACACAUCCUCCUGGGAUCAUCUCAGGAAGGGGACUGGCUGUGCAGGCACCAUGGAGGUGGUGCUGAUCUUUCUAUGCAGCCUGUUGGCCCUCAUUGUCCUGGCCAGUGCAGCUGAAAAGGAGAAGAAAACUGACCCUUUUCAUUAUGACUACCAGACCUUGAGGAUUGGGGGGUUGUUCUGUGCUGUGGUCCUCUUCUCCGUUGGGAUCCUCCUUAUCCUAGGUUGCAGAUGCAAGUGCAGUUUCAAUCGGAAGCCUGGGACCCCAGGGGAGGAGGAAGCCCAGGUGGAGAAUCUCAUCACUGCAAAUGCAACAAAACUCCAGAAAGCAGAGAGCUGAAUGAAGUGCAGCCCUCCGGUGGGAAGCCUCUGGAACCUGAAGGCAGCUGCUUGAACUUUUAGAUGCAAAUAUUGAUGCUUAAGAAAACGGCCACUUCAGCAACAAAUCUUACUCCAAGAGAAGCCAAGAACUUGUGUGUCCCCCCACAACCUUCCCUGUCCCCUCUAACACCAUUCCUCCACCUGAUGAUC